CAAGAAUAUCAUCCUGUUUGCUAAUAAGGGAGCAGGUUCUCCUGGGAGAAGACUUGCUCAAAGUCACACAGCCAGUUACUUCAUCUCUCUGAGCCCUGGCUUCCUAGAAGGAUGGCAGUAACAGUGCCUCCCUCUUGCAGGUGUGAUGGCUGAAAGAGAAAGUACAUAUCAAGCCUUCUGCCCCCAGCACUGGCCCACCACCCUGGCUGCUCAUUACAUCAAACGUCUCCACCUCCCUGAAGCCUGAGUGAACCCUGCCCCAGCCAGCUGAACUCCCUCCUCUGGGCUCGCCGGCUUGGCCAGUCUGCCUGCUUUCUGG